rnacentral:rRNA from 1 species
CCCUAUGGGGCGCAGCAGUGGUGUUAUCCGCCGCAGGGAGAUCCAGAAGGUUUACCUCAAAACCGGUUCGCGUGGCAGCCUCAGUACUGGUUACAGGGAGUUACGAAAAUCCUAUCGACCUGGUCCCCUGGGAGACAGACUACAGGGCAUGUAAAAAGGCAUAUGAGAUAGCCGGAUUAGGACCGGAUGACCUCGAUGUUGUGGAGUGCCACGACGCUUUUACGAUUUCCGAGAUACUGCAUUAUGAAGCGAUGCUGCUCUGCCCUACGGGCGAAGGCGGAAGACUUGGAGAGACGGGCGCUACGAGUCUCGGCGGGCAUAUCCCGGUAAACCCGUCCGGUGGUCUGCUCUCUAAGGGCCACCCGGUAGGUGCAACGGCGAUUGCUCAAUUAGUGGAGGGAACGCGACAAUUGGCGGGGGGGC